UAUUCAACUUUAAUUCAAAUAAUUAAAAUAAAUAUCUUACAUCCAAUAAAAUUUUACUAAAAAUAAAACAAUAGAUCUAAGUUCAAUGAAGUUGACAAUGCUAAAUCUCGCCUCUAAAAGCUCUGUUCCAAUAUUUCUUCCCAUGCUCGAAAUUAAUUAUCUGAAUCUGAAAAAUAAAAAGAAAGGUAAUGAGCUAGACAGCCCAGUAAGUAACAAAUAUCUCAACCAGAUAUUUCAGAUAUUAUAUAAUUUUCAAGAACAAUGUUGCAAAUAAACAUAAAAAUAUAUUUCAUGCUGAUUUAAUAUAAAUCCAAUAUUUUCAAAUAUUCACAUAUAAUAUAAUCAUAAAUCUGAUUCGAUUCAAAACACUCGUAACUCAACAGCCUCGACUAUG
rnacentral:lncRNA from 1 species